rnacentral:rRNA from 1 species
GAACGGGUGAGUAAUAUAUCGGAACGUACCCAGAAGUGGGGGAUAACGUAGCGAAAGUUACGCUAAUACCGCAUACGAUCUACGGAUGAAAGUGGGGGACCUUCGGGCCUCAUGCUUUUGGAGCGGCCGAUAUCUGAUUAGCUAGUUGGUAGGGUAAAGGCCUACCAAGGCGACGAUCAGUAGCUGGUCUGAGAGGACGACCAGCCACACUGGAACUGAGACACGGUCCAGACUCCUACGGGAGGCAGCAGUGGGGAAUUUUGGACAAUGGGCGCAAGCCUGAUCCAGCAAUGCCGCGUGAGUGAAGAAGGCCUUCGGGUUGUAAAGCUCUUUUGUCAGGGAAGAAACGGUCCAGGCUAAUAUCCUGGGCUAAUGACGGUACCUGAAGAAUAAGCACCGGCUAACUACGUGCCAGCAGCCGCGGUAAUACGUAGGGUGCAAGCGUUAAUCGGAAUUACUGGGCGUAAAGCGUGCGCAGGCGGUUUUGUAAGUCUGACGUGAAAGCCCCGGGCUCAACCUGGGAAUUGCGUUGGAGACUGCAAGGCUUGAAUCUGGCAGAGGGGGGUAGAAUUCCACGUGUAGCAGUGAAAUGCGUAGAGAUGUGGAGGAACACCGAUGGCGAAGGCAGCCCCCUGGGUCAAGAUUGACGCUCAUGCACGAAAGCGUGGGGAGCAAACAGGAUUAG